GCCAUUUCACAUUGAAACAUCGGUUCCUGUACGAUCACCGAAGUUAAGUAACGCCGAACCUGGUGAAUACUUAAAUGGGUGACCGCUUAGGAAUACCAGUUGUUGU